ACAUUAAAAUUUAUUUUAAAAAAGAAAGACCACCUUAUUCCCACCAUAUGCUCUUUCUCUACUAAUUCCCUCUCUCCUGAAAAGGUAGUCAGGAGAGAUGGAGAACAGCUCAUUUGAUAACUGCAGGUCUGAAACGCAAAAAUUCAACAGCCACAAAACAAAAGUCAUGUGCACCUGGCCCAUAAUAAACAUCUGUAAGAGGAAAUGCAGCUAUAAUGGUAUUAAAAGAUCUGUCAAAACCAACAGCAGGAUUAAGUCAAAAAAGUCAAUAGUGAUGACCACAGGGACACACACUGAACAACCGAAAUAUCUUAGAAAAUGAUGUAGACAGAAAAAGCCAGGUUUGGAAAACUAUGAAACUACACCAUACACACCUAUGCACAUGUACACGUUCUCUGUCUGUCUGUCUGUCUGUCUGUCUGUCUGUCUCUCUCUCUCUCUCUCACACACACACACACACACACACACACACACACACACCCCUCUCUAGCAGAUUUGGUGCAGGCACAGAGAUGACCCCUUUGCUUUCUUCCCUGACUGAUAGCUGGUACAAGGGCCAUCACUUCCACUCUCACAGAGAUCUACAGUGGAAACAGGGUUAACUCUUGAUAAAUUUGUUCAACUUGUUGGAACUUGUCUAUGAUCUUUUUAAAAGAAUCAUUACUGUUUUGAAUCAUGCUAAACAAAACUUUUCCAAAACGGGGGAAAGGCUUUUCUGGAACAGUCAUAUUGUUAGUAGCUGCAAUUAAUUUCUCUCCUAUUUGCUGGGAGCUAAUGGGUACAGCAGUUGAAUUCAUCGCGGCCGUUGAGUUUAUCAGGAUCAUGAUGGUGUGAGACGUUUCCGUCUCCGAACUUUCAGUUCCUGAGACAUCUAAAGGUACAUGACCAUCUUCCCACACUGCUAUGUUCUUAAAAUCAGAUAUUGUUGACAGGCUUAAAGUUGCUAAGAUCACCAAGGCUAGAACACAGAAGGCACCUCCACCGCAAGCAUAGACCCUAGUCGUUAUCUUUUUGCAGGGAGACGGCCAGGAACUCCAGGAGGCCUCUGUUCUGGACAGAAACGAACCACAAGAGCUUCAGGUCACACAGACUCUACUGGAGUGGGUGUGGCACAGAUGGAGUAUAACGCCCCACAGAAAUGACCACCAACACACGGCCCAACAGCAAGACAGCAAGUGGCAUGAGCCUGGGCAUGAACGUUUAUUGAGCACCCACUGGAUGCUCUGCUGGAUGUCUAAUUAGCACUAGCUCAUCCACUCCUCACAACUGACCUGUAAGACAGGAAAUACCCAUGAUGCACACAGACAGGAUCUGCACAGGAGCACAGGGCUAGCUCAUGGCAGAGCAAAGAUAGGAAUUCAACCCAAGCUCAGGCCUCCAGCUGUUUACACUCCAGCUGUUUACACUCCAGCACACACCUGCAAGACGGAUUCCAGCCCCCAUGAUGAUCAUCCACAUAAUCUUAAAUGACUUUAAUUCUUCUGGUCGGACCUGCCUGCCUCCUGAGAUUACGGUGAGGAUCCAAGAAGAAAACCAUGAACACUUGGCUAUUUUCCAAGACCCUGCACAUGACAAUUCUAACGAGAUGUGUGUGCAGGGUCCUGGACCUACUGCUCCAGAUUUCUUCACUUAAUUCUCAUGACAGUCUGUCAGGUUGGAAUGACGUCUCCCUGUGGAGAGGAAGAAGUGAGACUCAGUUGGAAUAACUUGCUUCAAAGUCACACUGCAGAGAGCAGAAGGCCGACCAUGUGGAGCCAGGCUUCAGAGCUCCAUCGAUUCCCACUGACUUCUGCUGUGUCACUGUUUUCCUCCUCUGGAGCCACAGGGCAUAGACCGGUUAGUGUCCCCUGAGGUGUCACCACCAUGGGUAGACAGGCAUGCCCCUGCAGUAGCUGGUAUCACUUUGAUGGUCCACCGAGAGCACUUACUGCUUGUCCACAGCGUGCCACUCCUGAGUCAGGUUCUCAGUUCCAGGGAUAGCGUGUCCUUCUGGGAAUUCAAAGGCUCACGGUGUACUGUGAACGCUAAGUCCAUAUGCAUAAACAUAGGCUCACGGUGUACUGUGAACGCUAAGUCCAUAUGCAUAAACAUUUACUCGUUCCAUUCUCUGGGUUCUGCAGUAGGCUCUGAGGACACAAAGAUGGACAAAUGACAGGCUCCAGAGUGAACAGGUGAUCUUAGCAAGGCACCUGACCCGUGUGACAGAGUGUAAAUGAUCAGAAAGAACACCCAAAGGAGGGGAUAACGGGGAACCACCACACCAUCUGCACGUUACUGAGUUUACAUACGUUGUCUUUACCCCACAGGAAGAAUCCUACUGAGUGAAUAUUAUUUUCUUGAUUUAAAUAACUUGUAUCAAAGGGCAGAUUCUGACCUGAAACUCUCCCCAAGGUUCUCUGACUUCAAAGAUUUUGUAAUGUGUGGGUCGCCUCUGAAAACAAUAAACUCCAGCUACAAUGGAAUGAAAAGACACCAUCAUUAUAUUAGGUUUUGUCACUUUGACCAAAUACCUGAGGCUUUGGUCCAGGGUAAGGUAGCCUGGCUUCGUUAGGCAACGCGUGGGGGUCAUGUGGUGGAGUAAAAGUAGUCUUUGAGAUGGCUGAGAAGAGAGAGGAAGGGGCUUGGAGCUCAAUUCUCCACAGGCUAAUGCCACAGACUCACCUCCUUGAACUAGGAAGGUGCCAAAGCCCUUCCUAGUGACAUCAUCUGGGGACCAAGUCUUCAGUACUUUGCAGGGCCGUUCAAGAUGCAAACUGCAUGGACUAGAGUGGCUCAGUGGCUGCUCUUCCAGACUCGUUUCCACUUCCCGACACCCACUUGGUGGCUCACAACCUUCUGUAACUUAAAUUCCAGGGACUCCAACACCCUCUUCUGGUUUCAAAAGGUCAGCAGGCAUGCAAACGAUGCGCGGACAAACACGCAAUCUAAAUACCCAUUUACAUAAAACAAAACAAAUUUUAAAGAUCCAAACUGUAACAGUCGUGAAGGAAUAGAACAGGAGAGCAAGUGUCUUUGUUGGGGCAGAAAUCUCGGCUCGCGACUGGACAAACCACACCAGGCCAACAUGGUUGCCAAGUGGAGAGGGUUAAUGAGAGAAGGGUAGAAGAGGAGUAAAGGUCGGCCAUGAGCACGUGGAGGGAAGGGGAUUGGGGAAGGGGGAGAGGGCAAGAGCAAGAGAGCAAGAGAGUGAGGAGGGGACAAGCAGUGUCAGGCACAGUUGUCUGUUGCCAGGUAACUGUGGGGCGGAGCAUACCCAGCUGUUGCCAGGUAACUGUGGGGGUGGAGCUUAGACAGAAUGCUAACAGUCUUGGCUGUGUGGAAGGCACCAUGGAGGAGGCAUGGCUUGAGUGAGGUUGGGCAGGGCGAGUCACAGGCCCGCCACGGGUUCUUUCGUUAUUCUAGUUAGUUUCCUGGAUUAUGCUCAAGGGAGACUAUCCUCCAGGGACGUGGCUCUUUUCCUGGAAGCUCAGGCAUGGAACUACUGUUUGUUGGGAGACAGGAUGAAGAUAAGCCACUGGAUUGUAGGAAACAAACACAGUCAUUCUGGCUUAAACAACCAGCCAACCGAAACAAGGAGGUAUUCAGACACUUUGUGGGACCUAUGAGGUAGCAUGUGCUGUGCACCCCGACCCCCAAGAGAGAUGACUGUGAGCAGGCUGUGACCACUGACCAGGGCCAGCCCCUCUUCCUUGCCUGUUUCUCUACAAAUGGCCUGCAGACUUGCUUUGACCCUCUCUCUGCAGUAGACAAAAGCAUCUCCAAACAGAAGACUUUUUUUUUUUUAAAUUGGAGAGGGAGAGUGCCCAGAUCUAAAUUCUCUGAUCUGUCAUUUCUAAAGUGCCCAGAAAGGAGAAUCUGACUUGUUCCUCCAUGAGCAUCUGAGCUGUGGUCAGGGAAUCUGUUCUCAGAGAGGCAAAUAUUCAAGGGGGUAGACCCCAGAGGCCCCGUGAACUGUUCUGCAAAGGGAGGUGGCCGUCGGUGGUUCUGGUGAGCUGGGGCUGAGAGUGCUCCCUUGUUCCCUUCUCCCUCUGCUGCCCUUUCGAUGAUACACACCAGCAUCUACGUUUCAUUCUUCUGUGCAGUUAUUAAAUCCAUAAAUAAAGACUUAAUCUCCGAAGCUCUGCCUUGUGAGUCUAGGCAUUAAAGAGGGGGAGGAGAGAUGCCGCCGCAGUUAGAACAUUGGCUGCUCUCGGCGAGGACCUGGAUUCAAUUCCCAGCACCCGCAUGACCUCACAACCAUCUGUAGCUGCAGUUUCAGAGGUCCAACACCCUCUUCUGGACUCUGGGCACCAGGCAUGCUCUGUAUACACCCAGUAGGCACCAAGGAGGCAAGCACAGUGAAAACAAAAAGGAGAGCUUUAAAUGGUGAGGCAGAAAAUUUGGGCCCUGGAGUGGGAUGAGAAGGUCCUCCCAGCCCUGACUCCUGAUGGCAGAGCACAGCUGGACCAAUAGUCAAAAGUACAGUGUCUCCAGAGCUGGAACCCUUCCUGACUUCUCCUGGACUCUGACAAACAAAGACAUCACAAGCACACACCUGUUCGAAGGACCCAGGCUGUAGCAAACGGGUGAGAUAUUAAAGAUAAAUCCAUGCACUUCUUCCCACACUGACACUGUUUACAGACACCACCUGAGCUAGCCUCAUUAGGGGCAUCAAAAAGCCACCCCUAUAUCAACCAAACUCCAUAGACCCAGGUCCACCCUCUAGGCACACAGCCCACUGGGAAGGAGACAAGUGCUACUGCCAUGUCAACAUAUACACGCAGUUGCAUAUGGUCACACAACACACACAGAGUUCCAGACAGUGCCCUCCUCGGUCUUUCUCAUACACGCAAUCCCAUACGGUUACAUGCACACAGCCUAAUAGAGCCACUCAUUUGUACACAUGCAGCCUCAGGGUACCCCAGUCUCACACACAGCCAUAGCCAACUCAUAGCGACGCAUAGAUGCGCGCACACACAUUACACAUGCACGCAGUGCCACAGCGCCACACUGCACCUUUUCGUCCCCUGGACCUGCUCUCAAGGCCUCCACGGAGAACUCCCUCCUCCACGGCCCUCCUAUAUGCCCUGCUUUGCAACCAGAUGUUCCGUGGGCAGACCCCUCUGUGGGCUGACAGGUGGUGAUUACUGUCGCCAGCCCCACAUUAGGAGAGAAUUGAAUGGGAGAGGCCCCCACCCGCCUCAGGCUCCCUACAAUAGCGCCUUUGUGAUGUGCCUUGCUGCCUUUCUUUCCUCUUCCUCACCAACCUACGUCAGGAGCAGCUCUGCCUGUGGAGAGAAGAAAGACAGACAAAAGGAGGAGUGCUGACUGAUCCACCCCAUCCUGGGGUGGAAGGAGGGAGGGCUCUACUUGGGAGAGAAGGCUGUGUUCCUGUCCCCCUUCCUCCCCGGGUAAUAACCCCGAGGGCUGCCUGAGACACUGUGGCAGCAGGAAAAUCGGAGCGGCUCAGACCAAGGAUUGUGCAACCCAGACCCAGGAAGAGUCAGUGCUGGAGGUGGGAGCGAGGACCUGGGCUCAGAGACAGAAUCCUCUUCAGAGAGCCCUGACAACUAGCUGCACCUAUAGACGUGGAAUCAUCCCGGGCGGUCGAGAAGAGAAACAAGUCCCUCACCUCUAAGGCAGCUAGUCGGCGUUCCAUGUACUCCACAAGGUGGUGCUGCUGUCCCUGAAGGGGUCCCGGCCAUGACAAAAGGAAGAAGAGGAGCAGAGGAGCACUGGGCCCCAUGGCAGCCUUAAGCAUGUACAUGUAACACAGGUACCUGUGGAGACCAGAAAAGGGCAUCACAUCUUCCAGAGCUGAGUUACUGACCGGAGACCGAGCUACCUGACUGGUUGCUGAGCACUGAGCUGGCUCCUCUCCUGAGAGAGCAGUACACUCUAACCACUGAGCCUUCUCUCCAGCUCCUACCCAGCUAAAGCUGCAGGAGAGUUAGGCAGAACAGAUAUCAAGAGAAGUCAGACAGCAUUUACUCAGGAUCUGCUGUGAUUAAUCUAGACAAGUUGCUGUUUCUUUUUCAGAAGAAAAUUUUGUGCACUUUGGAAUCAAGAAAAAUUGAAUCAGAGGUCCCCCUUGUUUUUAAAGACUUCGUUUAUGUGUCUGUGUGGAUAUGCAUGUUCAUGCCCACAUAGGCCAGAGCCCUGCAGCUGGAGUUAUAAAUCACUUGUGAGAGGUCUGAUUGGGGGCUGGAAUGGAGCCCAGACCCUCCACAAGAGCAGCAAGUGCAUUACCACAGAGCCAUCUCUCAAGGCUCAGAUUCUUCUUUAAAGAGGUGACAGCUCUAAGAGGGCCAAAGGAGAGAAACAAAAACAUCUUCCUGUAAGUUUCAUCUCCACUGUGCUGAUUUGAAUGUUUGGUGUCACAAGCUAGGAAAUGAAGUUAAUUUGUUUAUCUCCGGCCAUUCUUUCCAAGGGGUCAGAGGCAGGAGUCCAGCAUCCUCGGAGACAUCUCGGGAAGUACUUCCUACAAAACUGUAUUCAUUUCCAUUAUGAAGAUGCAGACAAGGUGUUCUAACGUGACAGUGUUCUCCUCGAGUUCAAACAGAGUGUUUAGCCAUUUAUUGGUCCCCUUUAUGCUCCAACACAGAAUUAAAAACAGCCACAGUCAGAAAA